CUGGCGGCGUGCCUAAUACAUGCAAGUCGAGCGAACUGAUUAGAAGCUUGCUUCUAUGACGUUAGCGGCGGACGGGUGAGUAAACACGUGGGCAACCUGCCUGUAAGACUGGGAUAACUUCGGGAAACCGAAGCUAAUACCGGAUAGGAUCUUCUCCUUCAUGGGAGAUGAUUGAAAGAUGGUUUCGGCUAUCACUUACAGAUGGGCCCGCGGUGCAUUAGCUAGUUGGUGAGGUAACGGCUCACCAAGGCAACGAUGCAUAGCCGACCUGAGAGGGUGAUCGGCCACACUGGGACUGAGACACGGCCCAGACUCCUACGGGAGGCAGCAGUAGGGAAUCUUCCGCAAUGGACGAAAGUCUGACGGAGCAACGCCGCGUGAGUGAUGAAGGCUUUCGGGUCGUAAAACUCUGUUGUUAGGGAAGAACAAGUACAAGAGUAACUGCUUGUACCUUGACGGUACCUAACCAGAAAGCCACGGCUAACUACGUGCCAGCAGCCGCGGUAAUACGUAGGUGGCAAGCGUUAUCCGGAAUUAUUGGGCGUAAAGCGCGCGCAGGCGGUUUCUUAAGUCUGAUGUGAAAGCCCACGGCUCAACCGUGGAGGGUCAUUGGAAACUGGGGAACUUGAGUGCAGAAGAGAAAAGCGGAA
rnacentral:rRNA from 1 species